GUCGUCAAUAAUAAUUGGUAUGACAUAAAUAAUAAUUGUGCCCGUCUACCUAUGGUAGGUAUAUGUAUACUUUACAUUGUAUAGCGAUCGAAAAAUUAUUUUACUUAUCCGUCCACGAAAACCAGUUCAGAUAAGCGACGAAAAUGGCUCCUUUUGGUCCUGCGAACUGUCAGCAGACUGCCGGACUGCGAUCACACCACUCAUUAGUCAUUAGUCAGUGUUCAACACUCGAUGGUUACUUGGUGAUCGCUAUUUCGGCAACUGAAAUAAUAUUUUGAUGACUGACGUACUUAUGUGUAAUUAUUGAAUAGUGGAAUACUGGAAUCGUAUGAAAUCUCUCUGAAAACGACCAUUGGCUCAAGCAGCAGGUAGCUGGUAUAGCCGGUAAGCAUCAUCAUCCCUUCUCGCUCGACUGACCUUCUACGCACAAUACAAAGGCUAAACGCGCGCCCACGCUCUUUCUGCGUUAGGGUCAGUAUAAGAUCGUGUUUUGAACCGUAGAAACCGAUUAUAAAUACGAGUGUUGAGAGACGAGUUCUUUAAUAUCAUGAAUUUGCCACCACAAGAAUCAUUGAGUUUUUAGGUAAUUCACCAUCCAGGGGUGGCCAAACAUCGAAUCAUGGACAAUUUCAAAGUCGAUUCCGCUCUGUGAGGAAUGUAUACACUUAGUAACUCUUUAUAAUAAAUCGUCGUGACUCGUGA